CAGAAAUUCAUGAUCCUUCUUUUAAGAGCUGCAUGGAUUUGGAGUCUUAUCCUCACUAGAAGAGAGGAAUGCACCCAAUGGAAAAGAGGAGAGCAACCAAAGUCUAAGCUAAGAGCAUAGUUUCAUAAAGUAUUUCCUCUGGCAUUCAUAGUUUUUGUGGACACACCUGAUACCUGAAAAAAACAAUCUGAGAAAAUCUAGGCUGUAACCAGCUCCCCGUUACCCUCAAUGAUAUCAUGGUGAAUAUCUUAGUGCAUGAUGCUUCAUGAAUUUAUGUGAAAGCUUCUCUGGGUUUACUCAGAUAUCCAAAACAUCAUUCACUGUUAAAUCCAGGAAACAUCCUUGGAUUUGGAAAUUAUGGAAGGAGAAAUUAUUAUUGGAACUGUACUGAACCUUUAGCUCAAUUAAGUUCAAAACAGAUACAAAGCUAUGAGCAUGUAUAUGCAGAGGUAGAUCAACCUGGAAGCUACUACAAUAGUCCAGGUGAGACAUCAAGAGGACAACUGAGGAAAUAAAGUGGACAUGGAGAAGAGGGAGAAGAUUCAACUAUUUAUACAGUUUGAUGAGGCAGGAUACCAUGCUGUGGAGACCCAUUUGGCAAGAAACUAAAGGCAGCCACCAUCCAAAUGCUAGGAAAAAGCUACAGCUUUCUGUCUGAUGGCAAAGGAGACACUGAAUCCAGUCAACAAUAACAGGAGUUUGAUGGAAGAUCCAUUCCCCAGUGGAGCCUCAGAUAACACCUCAAGUCUGGCCAACAUUCUGACUGUAAACUUAUGAGAGACCCUGAAGCAGAGAAUUCAGCUAAUCCAUGCCUGGGUUUCUGACUCUCAAAAAUUCUGAGAUAAUAAAUGCA
rnacentral:lncRNA from 1 species